UACGUAGGGUGCAAGCGUUGUCCGGAAUUAUUGGGCGUAAAGAGCUCGUAGGCGGCCUGUUGCGUCCGCUGUGAAAGCCCGGGGCUUAACCCCGGGUCGGCAGUGGAUACGGGCAGGCUAGAGGUAGGUAGGGGAGAGUGGAAUUCCUGGUGUAGCGGUGAAAUGCGCAGAUAUCGGGAAGAACACCCGUGGCGAAGGCGGCUCUCUGGGACGGUACUGACGCUGAGACGCGAAAGCGUGGGGAGCGAACAGG
rnacentral:rRNA from 1 species